CUGUUUCAAGUUCAAUAUUCAGUAUAAGACAUACCUAGCUAAUAGUUUGACAUAAUUUUGACAACCCAAGCAUGGUUGGUCAUUCAUUAGCAACAACAACCAACUGUUUCCCAACAUUGCCACCAAAUUAGAUCAGAUCACCCUCAAGAAAUGAUGCUAUUAACCAAAUUAGAUCGUAUCACAAAACAUUGGAGAACUAAAAGAACAAAAGAUUAAAAAAAAAAAAUUAUAAGAAAACAAAACAAUCAUUUUUAGAUCGAUCAAAAUAUAAACCCACAAUAAAUAGAUCGAUCACAAUAUACAUAAUUGAACUAAAGCCCGUUUAAAAGCUAAAGAUCCCGAUCUGAUACCCUAAUCAUAUUUUUGUCAUAGAUGUAAUACUUUGGUGAUGAAACCUAUUCCUCACAAUAUUUUACAAUUGGUGACUAAAUUUGACUCAUCACAAAAUUUCCAUUAUAUUCAAUAAUGAAAUAUUUUUACCACUAAACAUUCAUCACAAUGGUAAUAUUUUAAUGAUGAUGUUUAUUCAUCACUGAAUACAACAUUUAAUAUAAUUUGACUCAUCAUAAGAUUACCAUAAUAUUUG
rnacentral:lncRNA from 1 species